rnacentral:misc_RNA from 1 species
AACACUUGUACUUGUUCCUAUCCGAGAAUUCAGGGGAAUCUCCACAGUUAGUCGUCGGUAUGUCAGGGGAACCAGCGCAAAUAACCAGAUCAGGAGAUGUUAAAGAAAAACCAAGCAUGGAGCGACCUUCAAUGGCAUCAUUGGCAACUGGGUGAACAAGCUUUUGAGCAUCAACUGUUUCCAAGCUUUGAAAGGCUUGCCGAGAAGCACCAUUAUCUGGGUUGGCAGAAGAAUCAGGAUCCUCCAUUGUGAAAGUUGAAGAUCUCUGUUGGAUGUCUACCACGUGGCAUGUGAGCAGAAGUGGGUCAUGCCAUUGAUGAUGAUGAUCUUCCAUUGGUGAUUUGAAUGUGUAAUAAUCUUAGGAGAAAAGGAGGAAAUGGAAAGAAGCAUUCAAUCUGCGUUGUGCAAUUGAGAAAAGCUGACCGUUUGCUCUGUUUUG